GGAUAGAGGUUGCGUAUUUAAUAAGUAAUACCGCAGAUGUGUCAGGCACAGAUGAAGCGGCAUGAAAGGGAAAUACGCCGAAAGGGUUGACUCCCUGAAGGUCAAUUGCUUGGGCAUACGGUUAAGAACCGCAUGACUGUCAUCUAAGGAUGGGGCGCUAUC
rnacentral:ncRNA from 1 species